UUAGAAAAUAAGCAAAUAACUUGUAUAAGUCAACAUAAAGGGUUGAUGUCUCUACCAUAGCACCGAUGCUAUGACUAUAGGUUAUAAAUCUUUUUUA
rnacentral:ncRNA from 2 species